CACAAUAAGUCAUGUGAUUGA
rnacentral:piRNA from 1 species